UUAUAUAUAUAAUGUUGAUCCCGCGCAAUGCGCGGAUCUUCACCUAGUACUAUACUAAAAGGGUUAGGAGUACAGAGGAUGUCCAGGUCUGCAAAGAAAAUAAUCCAAUCAUUAUGUGACAUCUGUCCACUUUACCGCGUUUCAUUUAUGCUGUUUCCGUUUGGGCUACAUUCUUUGUUAUUGUUUUGGUUUAUAAAGCCCAAUCUUUGAAAGGCAGAGUAAGACGUAUGCCUGAAACGCAGAGUUUUUAAUUCUAUGGUUUCAUCCCAUUCUCUUCUCCGCCGUUGCAAUAUCGUACCCUAGGGGUUUUGAUCGAGAUGCUUCAUCUUCUUCCUAUGGAUCCAGCGAUCUACCUGUUACAGAUUCUUACUCUUAAAGCCCUUUUUAAAUCCAUCCUCCACGAUGAAGCUCAACGAUUUCUCACUCAAUACUCUCAUCUCUCUUACAAGCGGUGAAGCUCCUCCUACAAAAAGACGCUGCACCUCCACCGCCCAAGUCAGUUUGCUUAGGUUCUGGGAAGAUAGGAAUGUUAAGCGCGACGGAGAGGGUCAACAUUCUCCUCAUGGACGCCAAGGCCACUCUCACCUAAGCCACCGUGAACGUCUACCGCUUAAACACAUUCAGGCAUCUUUUCACUGUUGGUUAAGUGUACUCUGUUAGCGGCUUUGAGCUGUCCGGACUUCAAGCUGUCCGACUCUCCUGUGUCGAUCCGGCUCAAUAUUGAGACGGGUUUGAAAGACUUAACCGAUCCAGGUUCAAAUUCCUCAAGAACGUUUCAGGUUCUGCAAAGAUGAGUUGCUUGGUCUAGCAAACACCAACACCCAUCUUCCAGGAGCAUGGGCUAACUGAAUCGUUCCUCCGUGCCUGUCCUAUUGGUAUAAUGCCUGAUGGAUCAGGCACCAAAUUUUUUAGGUGAAUCCUUAGGCGUUAACGACAAUAACAAGUCGGUUUACUGGAGGAGAAGAAGGAGAUAGUGAGAACAAUAAUGAUAUGACAAAGGAGGUGAAGAGCAAGAACAAGCAAGACAAGCGAAGAAGUAGAAAACUAACGAAUGAGACAUAUUGCGGUCGCUAGGAAUAGGAAGCAAAUGAACGAGCAUCUUCGUAACCUCCAGUCU